rfam:Schistosoma haematobium scaffold580_2, whole genome shotgun sequence.
AUCCAGCUGACGUGUCCCAAAUAGGAAGAGACGCGCAUCCUGUAU